UCUCAACAAGUGAACUCUCCUAUGCAGCGCAAGUCUGAACGCCUCUUCCAGAAGGCCCAAAUCAGCGCUCCCGCCGCGCGUUUGGUCAGCCACCGGCAUGCUCGCCGCCCACCGGAACCCUAAUUUCUACGUGUUCUCGCCUUGGGCGUCACGAUAAGUAGACAAAAGGCCUCGCGAUGCGACUUGUAUCAUGUCUCGUUAGUCUGCUGCAGCUGAUAGCUAUUGCAAACUCCUAAUAGUGAAUGCUACAUUAGCACUUUCUGUCCUUGUUCCAGCAGUAAGGAGAAUCUGUGGGUUACUUACCAAGCUUCAUAAAUCUGAAAUGCCAGAAGGUGCAACUGACCUUGUUAUUAGGUUUCAUCUGUUAUUUGUAGACCACACCAAACGUUACAGCUAGUUCUGGACCCAUGGAUCAUUUAAAUAAAUGACAUUCUUGAUUGUCGUAGAUUGAGUGAACCAAACAUGCUAAGAUGGUUAGGCUGAGUUGAAGCUUGAGAAAAGGAGAAAGUUGGUGACAGAUCUAUAAUUCUUAAAAGCCAUACAAGAUGGAUACUCCAUGUCAUUGAAAAUGAAGAUUUUUGUACUGCAAGUCUUAAGUGCAAACAAGAAAGCCCAGAGCCGCUCCUCAUUUAUGCUUGCUGUCACUGAUUGAGGAGUAAGAAUGAAGAAAAAUAAUCAUGACUUGUUAGGAAAUCAAGGUUUAUUUGUGGUCUUCAAGUCUUGAACCACAUCUGAAGAAGCCCAGGUUCCUUCUUAUUUACAUCUGCAGCCUCCUUGAUGAUGCAAUUUAAAUAAACGAAAAGGAGAUCAAAUGUGGGAUGUCAUGAUGAAGAUGGACUCUGAUGAGCAAAACUGGAUACACGAUCCAGGAUCUUUUUAUGUCUGGUCAUCGGCUGUUCAAAACUAAGUAGGAUGCUUACCAAAACUAAUCUCUUAAGUAAGAUAUGUAAAUAGAUUUCUCAUUCAAUUGUUUGUCCUUGUUAUUGUUGAUG